GGAUCUAAAGGUAUAAAAGGCAGUCGAGGACACUUAGGAGAAGAGGGAGAGCCGGGUUCAAGAGGACAGCCUGGACCAAUGGGAGAGCAAGGGAAUAAGGGAUGUGAUGGUAGUACAGGUCCUAAAGGAUACCAAGGAAUACCUGGUGAAAAGGGAGACGACGGGGACAACGGGAUUGAUGGAAUUAAUGGAGAGCAGGGAUCACUUGGGUAUCCAGGAAAGAUGGGAGAAAAGGGUGACCCAGGCUACAUGG